rnacentral:rRNA from 1 species
UAGAGUGAAAUAUGGUUUAGUGGCGGACGGGUGAGUAACACGUGAGUAAUCUGCCUGUGAGAGGGGGAUAGCGUUUGGAAACGAACGAUAAUACCGCAUAAGCCGGGAAUAACGCAUGUUAAAACCGGAAAAGGAGCAAUCCGCUCACAGAUGAGCUCGCGACCGAUUAGAUAGUUGGUGAGAUAACAGCCCACCAAGUCGACGAUCGGUAGCCGGACUGAGAGGUUGAACGGCCACAUUGGGACUGAGACACGGCCCAGACUCCUACGGGAGGCAGCAGUGGGGAAUAUUGCACAAUGGGCGCAAGCCUGAUGCAGCGACGCCGCGUGAGGGAAGACGCCUUUCGGGAUGUAAACCUCUGUCAAGUGGGACGAUAAUGACGGUACCACAGAAGGAAGUCAUGGCUAACUACGUGCCAGCAGCCGCGGUAAUACGUAGAUGGCAAGCGUUGUCCGGAAUUACUGGGUGUAAAGGGAGUGCAGGCGGUUUAUCAAGUUGAAUGUGAAAGGCGUGGGCUUAACCCACGGACUGCGUUCAAAACUGGUAAACUUGAGUGAAGCAGGGGCAAGCGGAAUUCCUAGUGUAGCGGUGGAAUGCGUAGAUAUUAGGAGGAAUACCGGUGGCGAAGGCGGCUUGCUGGGCUUUUACUGACGCUGAGGCUCGAAAGCAUGGGGAGCAAACAGGAUUAGAUACCCUGGUAGUCCAUGCCGUAAACGAUGAUUACUAGGUGUGGGGGGAUAGAACCUUCCGUGCCGACGUUAACACAUUAAGUAAUCCACCUGGGGAGUACGACCGCAAGGUUGAAACUCAAAGGAAUUGACGGGGGCCCGCACAAGCAGUGGAGUAUGUGGUUUAAUUCGAAGCAACGCGAAAAACCUUACCAGGUCUUGACAUCGUACGAAAAGCGCAGAGAUGCGUACCUAGUCUCAUCUAUGAGGACACGGACAGACAGGUGGUGCAUGGUUGUCGUCAGCUCGUGUCGUGAGAUGUUGGGUUAAGUCCCGCAACGAGCGCAACCCUUAUCUUUAGUUGCUACGCAAGAGCACUCUAGAGAGACUGCCGUUGACAAAACGGAGGAAGGUGGGGAUGACGUCAAAUCAUCAUGCCCCUUAUGACCUGGGCCACACACGUACUACAAUGGUCGAUAACAGAGAGAGGCAAAACCGUGAGGUGGAGCAAAUCUUCAAAAUCGGUCCCAGUUCGGAUUGUAGGCUGCAACUCGCCUACAUGAAGUCGGAAUUGCUAGUAAUCGCGGAUCAGCAUGCCGCGGUGAAUACGUUCCCGGGCCUUGUACACACCGCCCGUCACACCAUGAGAGU